rnacentral:rRNA from 1 species
GCCAGACUCCUACGGGAGGCAGCAGUGGGGAAUAUUGGGCAAUGGGCGCAAGCCUGACCCAGCAACGCCGCGUGAAGGAAGAAGGCUUUCGGGUUGUAAACUUCUUUUGACAGGGAAGAGCAGAAGACGGUACCCCUUGAAUAAGCCACGGCUAACUACGUGCCAGCAGCCGCGGUAAUACGUAGGUGGCAAGCGUUGUCCGGAUUUACUGGGUGUAAAGGGCGUGCAGCCGGAGAGACAAGUCAGAUGUGAAAUCCACGGGCUCAACCCGUGAACUGCAUUUGAAACUGUUUCCCUUGAGUGUCGGAGAGGUAAUCGGAAUUCCUUGUGUAGCGGUGAAAUGCGUAGAUAUAAGGAAGAACGCCAGUGGCGAAGGCGGAUUACUGGACGAUAACUGACGGUGAGGCGCGAAAGCGUGGGGAGCAAACAGGAUUAGAUACCCGAGUACUU